ensembl:lncRNA
AGUGGAGGAGAGAAGCAGCCACAGGCAUGGAAUGAUUGGAUUUUCAGCCUUUACUGAACGUGCCUGGGAGCUUCUUGUAAGGAAUUUCUCCAGCCAGUGCUAAAUGAAGCUGCUUCCAGGCUUCUCUGUUUCAGCUGGGUGGUGGAUCAAACCCAGAGUGAGGGGCUGAAGAUGCUGUGCAGCAUCUGUUUCAUUGCUGACCCGAUGGAGAGCCUGGAAUGAACCAGCCUGACCCGUUGGAGAAGGAGCCACAAACCCGUGGUCUUGCCCCACCUUCCUGAACAUCUCUAACAUCUCCAGGCAGAGAGCACAGGAGAUUUGCUUUCGUGGCUUUAGAGCCCACGUGGCACUGAGAGAGUUGGUGUGAUGGGACCUUGCUGAUGGAUGUUCCUGCAGGACAGGUGGAGGGAGGAGCAGUGCUGUCCCUGCUUUGUGAGCAGCCUGCGCUGCACAAUCUGUGUCACAGCAGGAAGAAGGGGAAAGGAUGGAGUGUGGAGAUGUGCUGGUCCUGAAGUCAGCAUCCAACUGCCCAAAUACCUGGGAGGAAUUUGUAGAAGGAAUUUGCAGAAGGCUCCUGCCACCUCUCUGAAGGGCGGGUGGUGAGAGCAGCCAGAUUCCAUCUCAAUGAAGAGUUGCAGCCUGGUGUCACGUUAGGUAAAGAGCAGUACCUGCCUCAGGUGGGUGCUCAGCUCUCCCUCUCCAGGUCCUUCUGGCUGUGCGUGAUCCGCCUCCAGCCCACCACUGGCUGAUUUUGUGGAGAAAUAUUUCCUUUCCUUCUUCCUUAGUUUCCCCCAGUUGACUGGAAGCUUCCUGGAAGCAGGAGUUGCUCCUAUGUGUGGCUGAGUGCAGUGGUGUAGAGCUCCAAGGCACCACUCUGAGCUAAAUAACUGUUAAACUCUGUUUUUAGGGGAAAAAAAUCCCACCAUGCACUGACUCCCUAUUUCCUGUACUCAACCUUUGUAUCAGCUGCUUGUGGUGCUGCUGUUGGAGUCUCUGUGGAAUUGUGCUGCCUGGAAAACCUGGUUAAUUGUUAAAUGGGGAGCAAAGCUUCACUCCCAAGUACUUGUGUGCAAUAAUACUUCAUUUCAAACUCAUUUCUCUGUCAGAGUUUUAAAAUUUGCCUUUGGUCUGUAAGGCAGCCCUCGGGAAGAGAAGAACAAGUGGGGAAGAGGCUGGGUGUGAGUGGGGAAGGGGGGAGGUGUCUCCCAGGCGUCACAGAUGUGUGGCUGGGGCAGCAGGGUGGGUGACAGUGGGUGUGGGACAGGGGUUUUCCCUCCUGGCACACAGUGGGGCUGCUCAGGCAUGGGAAAGACCAAAGUCCUUAAAGCUUGGUCCGGAGUCGGAGCAGUUUCCCACCUCACCAGCAUUGCUGCUCUCUCCCUGACACAAACCCCUUGAUUUAGGCUUUCCAGGGAGUCUAAAACCAGGGAAGCAAUGUGGAUCAUUUGCCUUUCUUCUGGAAAACAGGGAAAGACUCCCCUAGAAGCAGGGAUUGUGCAGACCCAUCUCCACAUGCCUUGGGCAGCGCUGCUUCGGAAGCUUUCCUUGCUGUCAGUGCUGGAGUAGGAAAGCUGGUAAGCUGUGAGGAAAUAGGGCAUGUCUGAAACUGAGGAAUUCCACGGGAAAUUUACAAUAUUAUGUUAAAGGGGAAAAAAAAAAGCCAAGAGGG